rnacentral:rRNA from 1 species
CGGGACGGGUGAGUAAUGUCUGGGAAACUGCCUGAUGGAGGGGGAUAACUACUGGAAACGGUAGCUAAUACCGCAUAACGUCGCAAGACCAAAGAGGGGACCUUCGGGCCUCUUGCCAUCGGAUGUGCCCAGAUGGGAUUAGCUAGUAGGUGGGGUAACGGCUCACCUAGGCGACGAUCCCUAGCUGGUCUGAGAGGAUGACCAGCCACACUGGAACUGAGACACGGCCCAG